AGGGAAUCUUCCGCAAUGGACGAAAGUCUGACGGAGCAACGCCGCGUGAGUGAUGAAGGUUUUCGGAUCGUAAAGCUCUGUUGCCAGGGAAGAACGUCCGUUAGAGUAACUGCUAACGGAGUGACGGUACCUGAGAAGAAAGCCCCGGCUAACUACGUGCCAGCAGCCGCGGUAAUACGUAGGGGGCGAGCGUUGUCCGGAAUUAUUGGGCGUAAAGCGCGCGCAGGCGGCUGUUUAAGUCUGGUGUAUAAUCCUGGGGCUCAACUCCGGGUCGCACUGGAAACUGGAUGGCUUGAGUGCAGAAGAGGAGAGUGGAAUUCCACGUGUAGCGGUGAAAUGCGUAGAGAUGUGGAGGAACACCAGUGGCGAAGGCGACUCUCUGGGCUGUAACUGACGCUGAGGCGCGAAAGCGUGGGGAGCAAAC
rnacentral:rRNA from 1 species